GAUGAACGCUGGCGGCGUGCCUAAUACAUGCAAGUCGAGCGAACGGACGAGAAGCUUGCUUCUCUGAUGUUAGCGGCGGACGGGUGAGUAACACGUGGAUAACCUACCUAUAAGACUGGGAUAACUUCGGGAAACCGGAGCUAAUACCGGAUAAUAUUUUGAACCGCAUGGUUCAAAAGUGAAAGACGGUCUUGCUGUCACUUAUAGAUGGAUCCGCGCUGCAUUAGCUAGUUGGUAAGGUAACGGCUUACCAAGGCAACGAUGCAUAGCCGACCUGAGAGGGUGAUCGGCCACCCUGGAACUGAGACACGGUCCAUACUCCUACGGGAGGCAGCAGUAGGGAAUCUUCCGCAAUGGGCGAAAGCCUGACGGAGCAACGCCGCGUGAGUGAUGAAGGUCUUCGGAUCGUAAAACUCUGUUAUUAGGGAAGAACAUAUGUGUAAGUAACUGUGCACAUCUUGACGGUACCUAAUCAGAAAGCCACGGCUAACUACGUG
rnacentral:rRNA from 1 species